ensembl:snRNA U4 U4 spliceosomal RNA
UGUGUAGUACAGUGGCAGUAUCAUAACCAAUGAAGUUAAUCUGAGGUAUGAUUAUUGCUAGUUGAAAACUUUUCCCAAUACCUUGCUGUUUGAUGCUUCCAGGUUCCACCCAAGUGAGGGGUGCAUUUCAGUGGUGGGUGAAACCA